CCUUCAAACCCUCCCAACCAGCCCCCUCAGUGUCCCCCCAUCUGUUGUGACCCUCUCGCCAGCCCCACCCCCAUCUGUGGGGAUCCCUCAGCCCCCAGCAUCCCCUCCCCCAUCGUGUACACUCUACCUGGCCUUUCCCUUCGCUCCGACCUCCUCCUCCCCCUCCGUCCUCAGCACCCCGACACUGACCUCCUCCUCUCGCCCCACCCCUGACAUCCUCCUUCCCGUUCUCAGCACCCCACCACCCCUUCCUCCUCCUCCCCCCCAACCCCGUCCUCAGCGCCCCACCCCUAAUUGCCUCCAACCCAUUUUUCAUUGCUGGAACCCACUUUCCCAUCCCCCCACUCCCUCAGUCCAUCCCCAGGGUGUGAGGUUCCUCAUCUUCAAUCUCUGCUACACCCAAACCUGCCAGGUUCCCCUUUUCAACAACUGUGGGGUCAUCCAACCCACCGACACCCAUCCACUCUGGGCUCUCUAAAUCCCACAUUCCCACAAUGCACGUUGGUAACCCCACCCUCCUCUAUCCCUAAUCCCCCUAUUCCCUUCCCUGGGGUCCUCCUGGACACCCCAACCCACAGUCAGGCCCCCACAUACAUCCCAGUCACUCACAUGCUGAGCUACUUCUUCAGAGACCCCCACAGCCCGGCAAACUUCUCCAUCCAUGAGCCCUAUGGACCUGUGGCCAGGAAGCUCCCACUUUGGCUGGGCAGGGUGUGGGUGUUAAUCUUUUCCUGUCUUGUGUGUGCUGUGCUCACAAAGGCUUUUUGCUCCCUCGGGGUGAGGUGUGGUUUUGGCCGAAGAUGAGGUGUUUGGUAGCCCUGUGGAUGCUGUGUGGUGUCUGGAAUGGGGCGUGUGUGUUCCCAUCAUGCCCCUUCCCCUCUGCCUGCAGAGCUGAGGACAGACAGGUCUGAGGAGCAGAGCAGGAGCUCUGGGAAGGAGAAGAGCAAUAUGAAGAUGGAGUGUAAGAUGAGGCCAGGUAAGUUCUGUGGAGGGAGACAUGCUGGACAGGGCCUAGGAUUGGGGAGACAAGCAGGUGUGAGCCCCGGGCUCAGAUUUCUAAUUGUAGCUGUGAUGGCAGAAUGGGAGGAGGGUUGAAGCUGAAGCCCUGGUGUGCGGGAGUAGUGAGAAGAGGAACCUCACCACCAUUGCUUUUUCUUUUCCUCUUGUGUUGUGUUUCAUACCAAGGGAAAAGAAGUCGCGGGGAUGGAGUCCAGCCCUGAGGUGAGAUGGAAAGUGAUCAAGAGCAGUGACAGCGUGAAUCCUGUUGAUGCCAGGCAAGAGCUGCCCAACUGGGACAAGAGUAACCAUCUCUGUCGUUGGAAUGGAGCUUUUAAUUGACAUUUGCUGGAUUCAAAUGGCUGACUUGCAACACCAGUUUUGACAUAGUUCUGCAUAUUUUAUUACGAUUUGACCAGUAUUCAAGGAUUCAAUUCCUUUAUAGGAGGUUUUAGAGGUCAUGCUUAUUUAUUUGAUGUUAUUUUAUCAUUCUGCUGUAGCACACUUUUUUGAUAAAAUGUUGAAAUUAUUAA